rnacentral:rRNA from 1 species
GUGGAUUAGAUACCCUGGUAGUCCACGCCCUAAACGAUGAAUACUCGAUGUUGGCGAUAUACAGUCAGCGUCAAAGCGAAAGCGUUAAGUAUUCCACCUGGGGAGUACGCCCGCAAGGGUGAAACUCAAAGGAAUUGACGGGGGCCCGCACAAGCGGAGGAGCAUGUGGUUUAAUUCGAUGAUACGCGAGGAACCUUACCCGGGCUUGAAAGUUAGUGAAUGGAGCAGAGACGCUCCAGUCCUUCGGGACACGAAACUAGGUGCUGCACGGCCGUCGACAGCU